UUUAUCCUGAAUUAUGACUUUUGGGUUAAGAAAAACUGAUAUAAAAUAGUAUUAUCCUUGGAUUUUCUUUUUUCAGGAUUGAUGCUUUCUUAAGAAGUGAUCAGAACCGCUUUGCGGGUAAACUCCUUUCUGCUUACAGAGAAGGUGAUGUAGAAGAAAUCAAACGUGUGUCUCAGUCAAGAUCUAUCACCAAUCUUGACAGUGUGAUCAUAAAGCUUGCGAGGAAGUUGCCUACAGGUGACGUGGCUGCGUUUAAGACCAAUGCUGCUAUAGGUGAGGGAGAAGCCCUGGAUGAGAAUGACCUCACAUAGAUAGAAUUUACCUUCGGAAUUGUCUCAUUGUAAUUACAUAGAGGCAUCUUGGUUUGAUUCUGCUUGGUCAUGUUAAAAGGAUAUUUCAUCUUGUAAAGAGUUGCUAGUCUUCACAACCGGUAGCCCAUUGGCCAUUGUUGAAAAUUUGUUCUUUCUCCUCUUACAUUGUUACAUCUAUCCCCUUAAUAAUACACAACAUCUAGAAGUCUCCAGAGGACCUUAUAGUUAAAGAUUUUCACAAAUAAAUAAAUCAACAGUAA